UACGUAGGGGGCAAGCGUUGUCCGGAUUUAUUGGGCGUAAAGAGCUCGUAGGCGGUCUGUCGCGUCGGUCGUGAAAACUUGGGGCUUAACCCUGAGCUUGCGGUCGAUACGGGCAUGACUGGAGUUCGGCAGGGGAGACUGGAAUUCCUGGUGUAGCGGUGAAAUGCGCAGAUAUCAGGAGGAACACCGGUGGCGAAGGCGGGUCUCUGGGCCGAUACUGACGCUGAGACGCGAAAGCGUGGGGAGCGAACAGG
rnacentral:rRNA from 1 species